rnacentral:rRNA from 1 species
UUAAGCGACUAAGCGUACACGGUGGAUGCCCUGGCAGUCAGAGGCGAUGAAGGGCGUGCUAAUCUGCGAUAAGCGCCGGUAAGGUGAUAUGAACCGUUAUAACCGGCGAUACCCGAAUGGGGAAACCCAGUGUGAUUCGUCACACUAUCAUUAACUGAAUCCAUAGGUUAAUGAGGCGAACCGGGGGAACUGAAACAUCUAAGUACCCCGAGGAAAAGAAAUCAACCGAGAUUCCCCCAGUAGCGGCGAGCGAACGGGGAGGAGCCCAGAGCCUGAAUCAGCAUGUGUGUUAGUGGAAGCGUCUGGAAAGGCGCGCGAUACAGGGUGACAGCCCCGUACACAAAAGCGCAUGUGCUGUGAGCUCGAUGAGUAGGGCGGGACACGUGGUAUCCUGUCUGAAUAUGGGGGGGACCAUCCUCCAAGGCUAAAUACUCCUGACUGACCGAUAGUGAACCAGUACCGUGAGGGAAAGGCGAAAAGAACCCCGGCGAGGGGAGUGAAAAAGAACCUGAAACCGUGUACGUACAAGCAGUGGGAGCACAGGUUUACCUGUGUGACUGCGUACCUUUUGUAUAAUGGGUCAGCGACUUAUAUUCUGUAGCAAGGUUAACCGCAUAGGGGAGCCGGAGGGAAACCGAGUCUUAAUUGGGCGUUAAGUUGCAGGGUAUAGACCCGAAACCCGGUGAUCUAGCCAUGGGCAGGUUGAAGGUUGGGUAACACUAACUGGAGGACCGAACCGACUAAUGUUGAAAAAUUAGCGGAUGACCUGUGGCUGGGGGUGAAAGGCCAAUCAAACCGGGAGAUAGCUGGUUCUCCCCGAAAGCUAUUUAGGUAGCGCCUCGUGAAUUCAUCUCCGGGGGUAGAGCACUGUUUCGGCUAGGGGGCCAUCCCGGCUUACCAACCCGAUGCAAACUGCGAAUACCGGAGAAUGUUAUCACGGGAGACACACGGCGGGUGCUAACGUCCGUCGUGAAGAGGGAAACAACCCAGACCGCCAGCUAAGGUCCCAAAGUCAUGGUUAAGUGGGAAACGAUGUGGGAAGGCCCAGACAGCCAGGAUGUUGGCUUAGAAGCAGCCAUCAUUUAAAGAAAGCGUAAUAGCUCACUGGUCGAGUCGGCCUGCGCGGAAGAUGUAACGGGGCUAAACCAUGCACCGAAGCUGCGGCAGCGAACGUAUCACCCAAGACAACUUUGCACAGUUGACGAUUGACGGAGCGGAGCGACGUCAAAGCGUUUUACAACGUCGAGUUGGCUUAGGGAUACGUUCGUUGGGUAGGGGAGCGUUCUGUAAGCCUGCGAAGGUGGCCUGUGAGGGUUGCUGGAGGUAUCAGAAGUGCGAAUGCUGACAUAAGUAACGAUAAAGCGGGUGAAAAGCCCGCUCGCCGGAAGACCAAGGGUUCCUGUCCAACGUUAAUCGGGGCAGGGUGAGUCGACCCCCUAAGGCGAGGCCGAAAGGCGUAGUCGAUGGGAAACGGGUUAAUAUUCCCGUACUUGGUGUUACUGCGAAGGGGGGACGGAGAAGGCUAUGUUGGCCGGGCGACGGUUGUCCCGGUUUAAGCGUGUAGGCUGGUUUUCCAGGCAAAUCCGGAAAAUCAAGGCUGAGGCGUGACGACGAGGCACUACGGUGCUGAAGCAACAAAUGCCCUGCUUCCAGGAAAAGCCUCUAAGCAUCAGGUAACAUCAAAUCGUACCCCAAACCGACACAGGUGGUCAGGUAGAGAAUACCAAGGCGCUUGAGAGAACUCGGGUGAAGGAACUAGGCAAAAUGGUGCCGUAACUUCGGGAGAAGGCACGCUGACAUGUAGGUGAAGUGAUUUACUCAUGGAGCUGAAGUCAGUCGAAGAUACCAGCUGGCUGCAACUGUUUAUUAAAAACACAGCACUGUGCAAACACGAAAGUGGACGUAUACGGUGUGACGCCUGCCCGGUGCCGGAAGGUUAAUUGAUGGGGUCAGCGCAAGCGAAGCUCCUGAUCGAAGCCCCGGUAAACGGCGGCCGUAACUAUAACGGUCCUAAGGUAGCGAAAUUCCUUGUCGGGUAAGUUCCGACCUGCACGAAUGGCGUAAUGAUGGCCAGGCUGUCUCCACCCGAGACUCAGUGAAAUUGAACUCGCUGUGAAGAUGCAGUGUACCCGCGGCAAGACGGAAAGACCCCGUGAACCUUUACUAUAGCUUGACACUGAACAUUGAGCCUUGAUGUGUAGGAUAGGUGGGAGGCUUUGAAGUGUGGACGCCAGUCUGCAUGGAGCCAACCUUGAAAUACCACCCUUUAAUGUUUGAUGUUCUAACGUGGACCCGUUACCCGGGUUGCGGACAGUGUCUGGUGGGUAGUUUGACUGGGGCGGUCUCCUCCUAAAGAGUAACGGAGGAGCACGAAGGUUGGCUAAUCCUGGUCGGACAUCAGGAGGUUAGUGCAAUGGCAUAAGCCAGCUUGACUGCGAGCGUGACGGCGCGAGCAGGUGCGAAAGCAGGUCAUAGUGAUCCGGUGGUUCUGAAUGGAAGGGCCAUCGCUCAACGGAUAAAAGGUACUCCGGGGAUAACAGGCUGAUACCGCCCAAGAGUUCAUAUCGACGGCGGUGUUUGGCACCUCGAUGUCGGCUCAUCACAUCCUGGGGCUGAAGUAGGUCCCAAGGGUAUGGCUGUUCGCCAUUUAAAGUGGUACGCGAGCUGGGUUUAGAACGUCGUGAGACAGUUCGGUCCCUAUCUGCCGUGGGCGCUGGAGAACUGAGGGGGGCUGCUCCUAGUACGAGAGGACCGGAGUGGACGCAUCACUGGUGUUCGGGUUGUCAUGCCAAUGGCACUGCCCGGUAGCUAAAUGCGGAAGAGAUAAGUGCUGAAAGCAUCUAAGCACGAAACUUGCCCCGAGAUGAGUUCUCCCUGAGACUUAAAGUCUCCUGAAGGAACGUUGAAGACGACGACGUUGAUAGGCCGGGUGUGUAAGCGCAGCGAUGCGUUGAGCUAACCGGUACUAAUGAACCGUGAGGCUUAACCUU